UGCCGGUGUUAAACCGGAGGAAGGUGGGAUGACGUCAAGUCCUCAUGGCCUUAUGCUUAGGGCUACACGACGUGCUACAAUGGGUGGUACAAAGAGAAGCCAACUCGCGAGAGGCGCGCCAAUACUCAAAAAGCCAUCCUCAGUUCGGAUUGGAGUCUGCAACUCGACUCCAUGAAGUUGGAAUCGCUAGUAAUCGCGGAUCAGCAUGCCGCGGUGAAUACGUUCCCGGGCCUU
rnacentral:rRNA from 1 species